AGAGUUUGAUCAUGGCUCAGGAUGAACGCUGGCGGCGUGCCUAACACAUGCAAGUCGAACGGAGUUGUUAUCAUGAAGUCUUCGGAUGGAAUGGUAAUAACUUAGUGGCGGACGGGUGAGUAACGCGUGGGUAACCUACCUCAUACUGGGGGAUAACAGCUGGAAACGGCUGCUAAAACCGCAUAAGAUCGUAGUGCCGCAUGGCGCAGCGAUUAAAUAUUAUAUAGGUAUGAGAUGGGCCCGCGUCUGAUUAGCUAGUUGGUGAGGUAAUGGCUCACCAAGGCGACGAUCAGUAGCCGGCUUGAGAGAGUGACCGGCCACAUUGGGACUGAGACACGGCCCAAACUCCUACGGGAGGCAGCAGUGGGGAAUAUUGCACAAUGGGGGAAACCCUGAUGCAGCGACGCCGCGUGAGUGAAGAAGUGCUUCGGCAUGUAAAGCUCUAUCAGCAGGGAAGAAGAUGACGGUACCUGACUAAGAAGCCCCGGCUAACUACGUGCCAGCAGCCGCGGUAAUACGUAGGGGGCAAGCGUUAUCCGGAUUUACUGGGUGUAAAGGGAGCGUAGGUGGUGCGGCAAGUCAGAUGUGAAAGCCCGGGGCUCAACCCCGAGACUGCAUUUGAAACUGUCGUGCUAGAGUGCAGGAGAGGUAAGUGGAAUUCCUAGUGUAGCGGU
rnacentral:rRNA from 1 species